AGUGAACGCUGGCGGUAGGCCUAACACAUGCAAGUCGAACGGCAGCACAGUAAGAGCUUGCUCUUACGGGUGGCGAGUGGCGGACGGGUGAGGAAUACAUCGGAAUCUACUUUUUCGUGGGGGAUAACGUAGGGAAACUUACGCUAAUACCGCAUACGACCUACGGGUGAAAGCAGGGGAUCUUCGGACCUUGCGCGAUUGAAUGAGCCGAUGUCGGAUUAGCUAGUUGGCGGGGUAAAGGCCCACCAAGGCGACGAUCCGUAGCUGGUCUGAGAGGAUGAUCAGCCACACUGGAACUGAGACACGGUCCAGACUCCUACGGGAGGCAGCAGUGGGGAAUAUUGGACAAUGGGCGCAAGCCUGAUCCAGCCAUACCGCGUGGGUGAAGAAGGCCUUCGGGUUGUAAAGCCCUUUUGUUGGGAAAGAAAAGCAGCAGGUUAAUACCCCGCUGCUCUGACGGUACCCGAAGAAUAAGCACCGGCUAACUUCGUG
rnacentral:rRNA from 1 species